rnacentral:rRNA from 1 species
AUUGAACGCUGGCGGCAGGCCUAACACAUGCAAGUCGAACGGUAACAGGGAUCAGCUUGCUGAUUCGCUGACGAGUGGCGGACGGGUGAGUCAUGUCUGGGAAACUGCCUGAUGGAGGGGGAUAACUACUGGAAACGGUAGCUAAUACCGCAUAACGUCGCAAGACCAAAGAGGGGGACCUUCGGGCCUCUUGCCAUCGGAUGUGCCCAGAUGGGAUUAGCUAGUAGGUGGGGUAACGGCUCACCUAGGCGACGAUCCCUAGCUGGUCUGAGAGGAUGACAAGCCGCACUGGAACUGAGACACGGUCAAGACUCCUACGGGAGGCAGCAGUGGGGAAUAUUGCACAAUGGGCGCAAGCCUGAUGCAGCCAGGCCGCGUGUAUGAAGAAGGCCUUCGGGUUGUAAAGUACUUUCAGCGGGGAGGAAGGGAGUAAAGUUAAUACCUUUGCUCAUUGACGUUACCCGCAGAAGAAGCACCGGCUAACUCCGUG